GGGGCCGCCUGGAGAGGUGCUGGGAGCUGGGUGGAGCUUAGAGGAAUUAAACUUUGGCCCUGCGCCUCGUCCAGCCUAGGUUCCACCCUUUUCUGGGAACGUGAGUAUCAACCAAGAAUGAAUCUCGCUGUGUUGUCCAGGCUGGAGUGCAGUGGCACCAUCUCGGCUCACUGCAACCUCUGGCUCCCAGGUUCAAGCGAUUCUCCUGCCUCAGCCCCCUGAGUAGCUGGGAUUACAGGCACGCGCCACCACUCCCAGUUUACACCCCGCCACUCCUGAGCACCGCACACCGGCUUCCUCCCAGUCCCUCAUCUGAGAACUCAUGAAGCCACUUGGAAUCCCUCUCUGCUUUGCCUGGCUCAUUCCAUGUCAAUUUCAGAUCUUCACUUCAGGUCAGCUCCAAGGAGGCUAUCCUUGCCCAUCUUCCUAAAAUAGAGCUCUCAAAACCUGGCUGUUUUCCUUCAGAGCACUGGCCUCCAAUUUAAAUCCCAAGUAAGGUACCUGCCGUUGGCAGAUUUGAGCUUUCUUCUUGGACACCUAAUACCCACAGUCCUCCAGGCUCCGGUAGAUUGCAAAUGACCUGCUUUCUUUCUGUUCCCGGGUGGCAUCGACCCGUCGGAGAGUAAAUCCCAAGUAAGGUACCUGCCGUUGGCAGAUUUGAGCUUUCUUCUUGGACACCUAAUACCCACAGUCCUCCAGAAAAACAAACAAAGACAUGGAUUUACUGUGCAUAUUAGCAGAUCCAUACUGGAAAAUGCAUGGAGGUUUCAUAUACACCACUUACAGUUUUCAGCUCCUCAGUAGUGACAAAGCCAUACCCAUCAUUGUCGAUUCGAUCAACAAUCUUCCCUAGCCUCUCCUUGCUCUCGUCCGGGGUGAGCUCGUCGAAGUUCUUGGAGUCCUCCUUGCCCAGGAAGGCCUCGUGGUCGUACUGGAAGCUCUGGUUGUCCUCAGGGGGCCGCUCGCCCAGCUCCGAGUCGGGCCGCACCACGCGCUCUUUGCGCACCGUGGGCUUGGCCCGCAGAACCCGCGGCGCCAGCACCAGCGCCAGCAGCAGCCCCAGGGCUAACCCCAGGCGGCCACCGCGCGCCAUCGUCCCGAGGAGAGGGCGGCCGGGAGGGAGACGCUGAGCGAGCGACAACAGCGGCAGCUCGGGAAUGGGGGCUCGGAGCGCGGCGGCCAAGUUUUAUGUUAUGUAU
rnacentral:lncRNA from 1 species